UUCCCUCUGUAUUUAACAGGAGUUGGUCCA
rnacentral:piRNA from 1 species